GGCAGGUACAGAGGGAUGCUACCGGGCGACCGGAUGCGGAUCUCGAAAGCCUGUCCCAGUUCGGACUGGAGUCUGCAACCCGACUCCACGAAGUUGGAUUCGCUAGUAAUCGCGCAUCAGCCAUGGCGCGGUGAAUACGUUCCCGGGCCUUGUACACACCGCCCGUCAAGCCAUGGGAGCCGGGGGCGCCUGAAGUCCGGGACCGCGAGGACCGGCCUAGGGCGAAACUGGUAACUGGGGCUAAGUCGUAACAAGGUAGC
rnacentral:rRNA from 1 species